AGGGUUCGAUUAUGGCUCAGGAUGAACGCUGGCGGCGUGCCUAACACAUGCAAGUCGAACGAAGCGAUUCUGCGGAAGUUUUCGGAUGGAAGCGGGAUUGACUGAGUGGCGGACGGGUGAGUAACGCGUGGAUAACCUGCCUCAUACAGGGGGAUAACAGUUAGAAAUGACUGCUAAUACCGCAUAAGCGCACGGGAACGCAUGUUUCUGUGUGAAAAGCCGAGACGGUAUGAGAUGGAUCCGCGUCUGAUUAGCUAGUUGGUGAGGUAACGGCCCACCAAGGCGACGAUCAGUAGCCGACCUGAGAGGGUGACCGGCCACAUUGGGACUGAGACACGGCCCAA
rnacentral:rRNA from 1 species